rnacentral:ncRNA from 1 species
CCUGUUUUGUGCUAAAUCUAUCGCAAGAUAGGGACAGAAAGCUACGAGUCUCUAUGAGAUAGUCGGGUUGCCAGG